GACGAACGCUGGCGGCGUGCCUAAUACAUGCCAGUAGAACGCUGAAGCGAGGAGCUUGCUCUUCUUGGAUGAGUUGCGAACGGGUGAGUAACGCGUAGGUAACCUGCCUGGUAGCGGGGGAUAACUAUUGGAAACGAUAGCUAAUACCGCAUAAAAUUGAUUAUUGCAUGAUAAUUAAUUGAAAGAUGCAACUGCAUCACUACCAGAUGGACCUGCGUUGUAUUAGCUAGUUGGUGAGGUAACGGCUCACCAAGGCGACGAUACAUAGCCGACCUGAGAGGGUGAUCGGCCACACUGGGACUGAGACACGGCCCAGACUCCUACGGGAGGCAGCAGUAGGGAAUCUUCGGCAAUGGGGGGAACCCUGACCGAGCAACGCCGCGUGAGUGAAGAAGGUUUUCGAAUCGUAAAGCUCUGUCGUAAGAGAAGAACGGGUGUGAGAGUGGAAAGUUCACACUGUGACGGUAUCUUACCAGAAAGGGACGGCUAACUACGUG
rnacentral:rRNA from 1 species